rnacentral:rRNA from 1 species
UUAGAGUUUGAUCCUGGCUCAGGAUGAACGCUAGCUACAGGCUUAACACAUGCAAGUCGAGGGGCAGCAUGAACUUAGCUUGCUAAGUUUGAUGGCGACCGGCGCACGGGUGAGUAACACGUAUCCAACCUGCCGAUGACUCGGGGAUAGCCUUUCGAAAGAAAGAUUAAUACCCGAUGGCAUAGUUCUUCCGCAUGGUAGGACUAUUAAAGAAUUUCGGUCAUCGAUGGGGAUGCGUUCCAUUAGCUUGUUGGCGGGGUAACGGCCCACCAAGGCAUCGAUGGAUAGGGGUUCUGAGAGGAAGGUCCCCCACAUUGGAACUGAGACACGGUCCAAACUCCUACGGGAGGCAGCAGUGAGGAAUAUUGGUCAAUGGGCGCUAGCCUGAACCAGCCAAGUAGCGUGAAGGAUGACUGCCCUAUGGGUUGUAAACUUCUUUUAUAUGGGAAUAAAGUGCAGUAUGUAUACUGCUUUGCAUGUACCUUAUGAAUAAGGAUCGGCUAACUCCGUGCCAGCAGCCGCGGUAAUACGGAGGAUCCGAGCGUUAUCCGGAUUUAUUGGGUUUAAAGGGAGCGUAGGCGGGUUGUUAAGUCAGUUGUGAAAGUUUGCGGCUCAACCGUAAAAUUGCAGUUGAUACUGGCAUCCUUGAGUACAGUAGAGGUAGGCGGAAUUCGUGGUGUAGCGGUGAAAUGCUUAGAUAUCACGAAGAACUCCGAUUGCGAAGGCAGCCUGCUGGACUGUAACUGACGCUGAUGCUCGAAAGUGUGGGUAUCAAACAGGAUUAGAUACCCUGGUAGUCCACACAGUAAACGAUGAAUACUCGCUGUUUGCGAUAUACAGUAAGCGGCCAAGCGAAAGCGUUAAGUAUUCCACCUGGGGAGUACGCCGGCAACGGUGAAACUCAAAGGAAUUGACAGGGGCCCGCACAAGCGGAGGAACAUGUGGUUUAAUUCGAUGAUACGCGAGGAACCUUACCCGGGCUCAAACGGGGAGUGGCGCAGGCAGAGACGCCUGUUUCCCACGGGACACUCCCCGAGGUGCUGCAUGGUUGUCGUCAGCUCGUGCCGUGAGGUGUCGGCUUAAGUGCCAUAACGAGCGCAACCCCCGCGUGCAGUUGCUAACAGUCAACGCUGAGGACUCUGCACGGACUGCCGGCGCAAGCCGCGAGGAAGGCGGGGAUGACGUCAAAUCAGCACGGCCCUUACGUCCGGGGCGACACACGUGUUACAAUGGGUGGUACAGCGGGAAGCCAGGCGGCGACGCCGAGCGGAACCCGAAAUCCACUCUCAGUUCGGAUCGGAGUCUGCAACCCGACUCCGUGAAGCUGGAUUCGCUAGUAAUCGCGCAUCAGCCAUGGCGCGGUGAAUACGUUCCCGGGCCUUGCACUCACCGCCCGUCA